UACGGAGGGUGCAAGCGUUAUCCGGAUUUACUGGGUUUAAAGGGUGCGUAGGUGGGUCUGUAAGUCAGUGGUGAAAUCUCCGGGCUUAACUCGGAAACUGCCAUUGAUACUAUCUGUCUUGAAUACCGUGGAGGUCAGCGGAAUAUGUCAUGUAGCGGUGAAAUGCUUAGAUAUGGCAUAGAACACCAAUUGCGAAGGCAGCUGGCUACACGAAUAUUGACACUGAUGCACGAAAGCGUGGGGAUCAAACAGG
rnacentral:rRNA from 1 species